UGUUUGGAGGGUUCACUCCUGUCCCUUCCCAACUCUGGAGCGGUCCCACUCGGCCGUCCUCCCGCUGCGUUUCUAUUAUUUUACUAUUUUAAUAAUUACUGCACACCGCACGGCUUGCCGGAUCUUAGUUCCCUGACCAGGAAUUGAAUCAAGGCCGUGGCAGUGAAAGCGCACGGAGUCCUAACCACUGGACCUCCAGGGAAUUCCCCCCAGCACCUCUUUAGAUGUUUCCUGGCACCUGGUGUCUGUUGAGUGCCCUCUGCCUGGCUUGGUGCUGGUUUCUCUGAGGCUUUAAAAAAGGAGAAUGGGAGUGGGUCUUGCCACAGCUGUGGUCUUCUGACCCUGGUCUCCAGUCUAAGCAGCCCUGUGUUCUUUUCUGCCUCUGGAUUUGAAGUGGUUACAGGCUGCCUGUGUCCUGGUCACUGGUAAUAUGGGCCGAGGAAAAGUUGCAAGAUUUUCCCCAUGUUCAGGGGACCCAUACUUGUCCCUUCCAUACAGGACAGCCUUCAGUGACUAGCAGUGACCAAGCAUGAGGCAGUCUGAGGAUGGAGGGAGUCAGGCUAUAGUGCGUUCAUUGCCUAAGACCCGAAUCCCCCCAACACACAUACCGUGUUUUCCUAUCGAUGAGCAUAAUGGUUUCCUGCCAGUUGGGCAGAUCACGUGAUGGCUUCUUGUCCCCUGCGGGAGUGUCACAUGGCUGCUGUUGCAUGAGACGUGUCGUCAGGGAGAGCCGGGACUGAGUCCCAGCUGGGUCUGUGUGCACAGAGGCUCCACAGGAGGCGUCAUCUUCGUGUCAGCCAGGUGCUAGGCCCUGGGGCCCCAGGAUGUGGUGUGGCAGGAGGACUCUCCCGCCGUGUAGUCAGCCGUCAGCAGCGGGCUGCCCUUCUGCCUUUCUGCGCUGCAGAUGUGUUGGGUGGAGGCCGCAACCCUCCCCCGGCGCCUUCACUUAUUAGACUCUGCAGGGGCAACGUGGUGCUCCCAAGAGGCAUGUCUGGCUCCCAGACAACAGGUCAGCGUUCGAUCUGGAGAUCGUUGAGGAAGUCCCAGGGCCAUGAGUCAGUGACUUUGGGGUGACUUGGGAUCUGGCAUUGCUGGUAUUUCUCCCCAAGACUCCUUUUGGUCGUGGACACCAGCGGGGCAGGGAGUGGAGACUGCAGUCCACACAUGAAGAGCUCCCCGCCGCCUGCUCAGAGUGUCAUGGGAGAACUGUUCACUCAGCACGAGAAAUCAGAGCAAAGCGCUGGGACUGGGGAUUGGGGCCCCCUUCAGCUGGCUCUGGGUCCCGACAGCAGUGCCCUUGGGCGCCAUGGACAGGCAAGGCCGGUCCCCGUCCCUCUGCCAUGCCUGCGUGACUUCAGUGACCAAGAGUUUUUCUCUUGAGUUGGCAGCUGCUCAUCAUCACUUUUCUCUCCACCCGUCCGUUCAAUAAACCAUGGAGGCGUCUACGUGAGGAAGUAUGUCCCAAAGGCUGUGAUGAAAGGCUCUACUUAAUUGUCCAGUUUCUGCAUUUGGAAUUGAAACCACCUUGGCUAAGCUGAGGCAGGAUUCAGGCUGUCAGGCCUGCCUGGUGGCUUUGACACCCUGAAGGUCUGGGGCAGGCAUUCUUCAUGGCUGAGACGUUCUGCCCUGCUAGCCAUUCUUCGUGGCUGAAAUGUUCUGCCCUGCUGGCCAGUUCCUGGUAGAGGCAUCCAGAAGCGGGCAGUCCUUUUUCUGUCUCACUCCAAGGACUGUCCUCUGACUUCUGUUUGCCACCUUUGUGCAGCUGGUUGUAGCUGCCUGGAAAGACGCCAAGAGGAGGAGUCUGGUCCCACUGGAGAUAGCUGUGACUGAGCGUGAUGCUUGCUGCCGUGCAGGAACAGCAGCAGCGGGGCACAGGCCAGUCCUGAACAAGCGUUCCUGGGGACACCGGGCACUGGUCAUCGUGCUAGCCCUGUUCUACUGCAGUGUGCGAAGCAGGAGACAUCCCAGGUCUGUAGGGCCUGAGGAGAUCUGAGGAGAGCAUUCAUCCAGGGUGACCCAGGAAGCAGGCUUAAGGUCAAUAAGGCACAAACCUCGGCUGGGAAACCAGGCCUCACUGGAGCAGCUGGUGGGAGAUUAACCAGACAUCAUACUAGACAUAGGGGUACAAUGGUGAAUAAGACAGUUUGUGCCCUAAAAGGGGUCACCAAUAAAUAUAUAGAUAAUGUCUCCACACACCAAACGUUACAGGACAUGCACUGCUGGGCACUGUAGGUGUUGGGGAUGCAGCUUUAAACAAAACGGGGUGCCUCCUGGAGCUUGCUUAGAACUGCUGUCCAUUAUGGCAAGCCACCAGACACUUGUGGCUCUUUUAAUAAAGCUUAAAAUUCAGGUCUUCAGUUUUAUCAGCCACAUUUCAAGUGCUCAGUAGCCACAAGUAGCUGCGGGGUUGGACAGUGCAGAUACAUAGAAUAUUCCCGUCACUGCAGGAAGUUCAGACAGCGCCAGUCUAGAAAAUAAGGAGUUGAGUUCCAUGAAAGGAGUUGCUGGGACACCUUUACAGAAAGGCUGUCAUUUGAGGAGUCCAAAGAGGGCUGCUGUGCCUGGCGCUGCAUUCCUGUGAUUAUGGGGGGGAGGGGUUGGAUAAAUCGGGGGCAUCAGCCCGGAGGGGGUGUGAGAGCACUGGCUUCCGAGUCACAGACCUGGGGUCUAACCCAGCAGGGUGACAUAAUGUGGGUUUACAUCACCUGACCUCCGUUUCCCCUUGUGAAAUGAGAACCACACCUCCACAGGAAUAUGGUGAGGUAAGGAUUAAACAGACUUGUAUGUGGAAGCCUGUGUAGGGUGUGGCUUCAGAAAGUGUUCAAUAACUGAUGGCUAUUAUUAUUUAUUGAAGUUUUCUCUUCAAUUUUUUUUUUGUCUUUUUUCGGCCUUGAGGCUUUCAGGGUAUAGCCUGUAAUGCUGAAGUUUCCAGGAAAACAAAAAUAGUUCCCCUCCUUUUACAACUUAAGAUAUGUAUAAUGCAAUGGUUAAUAAAUAUCUAGAAACAUAUACCCCCAAAUUAGAGGAUAUAUGCUUUUCUCAAGCACCUACAUUUACAAAUACUUUUUAUGUUCCAGGUUACAAAACAAGUCAAAAAUACCAAAGAAUCAGUUAUACAGAUUACAUUUGUAUCAUACUACAGUAUAAUUAAGGGUAAUAACAACAAAAAUGGGUUUGGAAAAAUCCAUAUAUUUGGAAAAUUUAAAAUGUUUAAAAAUAACUCAUCAAAGAUGAAACCAGAGGGGAAUUAGAAACUACUUAGAACUGAAUGAUAAUGAAAAUUUCUACAUACCAGUACUUGUGAGAUGUAGCUAAAGUAAUUCUGAAGAAGUUUAUGCCUCACGUGCUUAUAUUAGAAGAAAGGCUGAAUAAUUUUUAUUAAUAAGUAAUAAAAAAUAGAAGUAAUGAGGAUAAAAAUUAGAGCAGAAACUAAAGCAGAGGGCAAAAAUACAACAACGAUCAACAUGGCUAAGAGUUGGUUCUUUGAAAAGUCAUGAAACUGAUGAAGAAAAAUAAUUUCAGGAAGGGAGAAGGACAUAGGACAGAACUGGGAUUUAA